rnacentral:rRNA from 2 species
ACAAGCAGCGGAGCAUGUGGUUAAUUCGAAGCAACGCGAAGACCUUACCAGGGCUUGACAUCCCUCUGACAGUCCCUUAACCGGGACCUUCUUCGGACAGAGGAGACAGGUGGUGCAUGGUUGUCGUCAGCUCGUGUCGUGAGAUGUUGGGUUAAGUCCCGCAACGAGCGCAACCCUUGUCUUUAGUUGCCAUCAUUCAGUUGGGCACUCUAGAGAGACUGCCGAGGACAACUCGGAGGAAGUGGGGAUGACGUCAAAUCAUCAUGCCCCUUAUGUCCUGGGCUACACACGUGCUACAAUGGCUGGUACAAAGAGACGCAAGACCGCGAGGUGGAGCAAAUCUCAAAAACCAGUCCCAGUUCGGAUUGUAGGCUGCAACUCGCCUGCAUGAAGUCGGAGUUGCUAGUAAUCGCGGAUCAGCGUGCCGCGGUGAAUACGUUCCCGGGCCUU